UACAGAGGUCUCAAGCGUUUGUUCGGAUUCAUUGGGCGUAAAGGGUGUGUAGGUGGCGCGGUAAGUCGGGGUGUGAAAUCUCGGAGCUUAACUCCGAAACUGCAUUCGAUACUGCCGUGCUUGAGGACUGGAGAGGAGACUGGAAUUUACGGUGUAGCGGUGAAAUGCGUAGAUAUCGUAAGGAAGACCAGUGGCGAAGGCGGGUCUCUGGACAGUUCCUGACG
rnacentral:rRNA from 1 species